AACUUUGUGAAAUGACUUGAGAGGUGUAGAAUAAGUGGGAGUCGUUUUCGGCGCAAGUGAAAUACCACUACUUUUAACGUUAUUUUACUUAUUCCAUGGGGCGGAGACAGGAACUUGCCCCUAUUUUUGGACAUAAGACAACUUUUGGCGGGUCGAUUUGGGCGAAGACAUUGUCAAGUGGGGAGUUUGGAUGGGGUGGCACAUCUAUUAAAAGAUAACACAUGUUUCCUCAAAGUGUUAUCAUUGAUGGAAAUGGUUGAUAGUUCAUUAUUCACGCACUUGAUGUCAUUGAUUGUCAAGCAUUGCAAGAUAUAACCAUGCAAGAAAAAUUUGAUGGGUAUUACCAUAAUCAAUUCAUCUUUGUAAGCCAUUUUUUUCUCAAAUGCACAUUCAUGGUCAAUUGGACGU
rnacentral:ncRNA from 1 species